GUGUUUCGCUGAUCUGUUGGCUGGGAUCAGAUCAUCCAUUUGGGGAUUUAGAUAUGUUACCCCAGCCAACAGGCUGCAUGUUUAAUUUUACUCAAUACUAAGCUUUGUUUUAGUGCGAACAUCAACAUGUUUAUCUAAUUGCAGUUGCUGCUUGGGAUAAUAAAGUUAAGUCAGCAACCGUCUACCAGACUGCAAGAUUCAUCUCUUCCAAAGGAUGUCGUACCUUUCCAGAUACACUGUGUUUUGUGUGGAUAAGAAAUGCAGAGUGGUACCACCAAUCACCUAAGCCACCAUUCCCCUAACAGACAAUAGGUUAUGGGGACAGUUCCUGCAAUUUACAGAAAAGCUCUCAAUUGUAGCCCUACGAACUUCAGAUACUGCCGAUGGUGAAGCUUGGGUGCACCGGGCCGGUUUUCCAGCCGUGUGGAAUCAACAUCUCCAGCUGAACUGGGGCCGGGAAUUAUAUAAGACUCCUUAGCAGCAUGAGUGCCAGCCAGUCAUUGCUGUUCUUUGCAUUGCUGAGGAGGACAGUCCUGCCAACAUAACAGUUUGUUCAAUAACAGGAGACAAACAGAAACACAGAGGUGCUAUACAUUCUGAUGGAAAAACAAAAGCAUCUCCCAUCAUUUUGGCGUGGCUCAGAUCAAGAGGAGAAUUUUAAGAAAGGUGAUGGUUGGGCACACACAAGAAGACAUAGAUCACAGGUGUCUAGCCAUAUGAGUAAAUAGGAGUGUCA